rnacentral:rRNA from 1 species
UACAGAGGUCCCGAGCGUUGUUCGGAUUCAUUGGGCGUAAAGGGUGCGUAGGCGGCGGGGAAAGUCUGAUGUGAAAUCCUGGGGCUCAACCCUGGAACUGCAUUCGAUACUGCCGUGCUUGAGGACUGGAGAGGAGACUGGAAUUUACGGUGUAGCGGUGAAAUGCGUAGAUAUCGUAAGGAAGACCAGUGGCGAAGGCGGGUCUCUGGACAGUUCCUGACGCUGAGGCACGAAGGCCAGGGGAGCAAACGGG